ACACUUAUAUGGCAGGGGUGGUACCAUGAUCACAAAGGUGGUACUACCAGGGUGAGGCUUACCCUUUGUACUCCGGAUGUGCUGAUCCCUGAGAUUUCCCUGAAAAUGAGAAACUUGACUGCACAAUUUGUGGUAGUGGAGGAUUGUGUUCAUGCUCUACCCUAAA
ensembl:snRNA U1 U1 spliceosomal RNA